GAUGAAGAACGUAGCGAAAUGCGAUAAUUAAUGUGAAUUGCAGAAUUCCGUGAAUCAUCGAGUCUUUGAACGCACAUUGCGCCUCAUGGCAUUCCGUGAGGCAUGCCCAUCUCAGCGUUAGAAAAUAUUCUCAAAUUUUAGUUUUGUGCUAAAAUUUGGAUCAUGUCAAGGAAGCUAUUACUAUUAUUGUGAUCGCUCUUUGGAAAUUGAUAGGUCUUUGAGUUGCUACUCAUAGAACGUGAUGAAUCUUUCUUCGUUCUAUUGUAAUUCACUCUGGUAGGCCUAAAACUUGUAUGCCUGUGGCAUAUCUUGUAAUUUGACCUGAGAUUGGGUAGGGAUACCCGCUGAACUUAAGCAUAUCAUAAGCGGAGGA
rnacentral:misc_RNA from 1 species